CUAGAAAAAUGCUGAAAAUCUCAAGAAAAUGCCCAGAAAAAUUCCAAUGAUAAAUAAUACGUCAAAUUUAUGCCGAUAACGAAAGCAGCGUACAUUCAACAAAGAAUUUAGUAAAGAAAACAUAUUUGAGAAGCAAUUGUCAGCGAUUGAUAUCUCUCUAGAUGCAAGUGACAAAAACUAAUAUCAACUCCAAUACUGAACCUAUAGACAUUUUUGUCUAUGAAGAGUAGUCUAAAAUAAUGUACAUAUGCUUAUAUGUAAACACCAACUAAAUGCCAUCGUUAAAACACGUCGAGAAUAUAUAAUAUUUUAGUGGAUAAAUAAAAUAUUGGGCAGUUUCGCUGGAGCAGCACCGAAAAAAUGCCACUGUUCGGCAAAAAGGAUUCUAGCAAAAAGAUGAAAAAGGACAACAAAGAGCUUAAUAAACAGACAUCUAUAGAAGAAAAGUAUAACCUGCAUGGAUUGCUUGGGACAAAAGUUCAUCAAUGAUAAUGGCGACGAUGAAGCGGAAU